GAUGAAGAACGUAGCGAAAUGCGAUAAGUAAUGUGAAUUGCAGAAUUCAGUGAAUCAUCGAAUCUUUGAACGCACAUUGCGCCCCCUGGUAUUCCGGGGGGCAUGCCUGUUCGAGCGUCAUUUCACCACUCAAGCCUCGCUUGGUAUUGGGCAACGCGGUCCGCCGCGUGCCUCAAAUCGACCGGCUGGGUCUUCUGUCCCAUAAGCGUUGUGGAAACUUUCGCUAAAGGGUGUUCGGGAGGCUACGCCGUAAAACAACCCCAUUUCUAAGGUUGACCUCGGAUCAGGUAGGGAUACCCGCUGAACUUAAGCAUAUCAAUAAGCGGAGGA
rnacentral:misc_RNA from 1 species